rnacentral:siRNA from 1 species
AGAAUUUGUGGUACGAAGGUGUCC